UACAGAGGGGGCGAGCGUUAUUCGGAAUUAUUGGGCGUAAAGGGCGCGUAGGCGGCAUGGCAAGUGGAAGGUGAAAUCCCUCGGCUCAACCGAGGAACUGCCUUCCAGACUGCUUUGCUUGAGUCCGGGAGAGGUGAGUGGAAUUCCCAGUGUAGCGGUGAAAUGCGUAGAUAUUGGGAGGAACACCAGUGGCGAAGGCGGCUCACUGGACCGGAACUGACGCUGAGGCGCGAAAGCGUGGGGAGCAAACGGG
rnacentral:rRNA from 1 species